GAUGAACGCUGGCGGCGUGCCUAAUACAUGCAAGUCGAGCGAACGGACGAGAAGCUUGCUUUUCUGAUGUUAGCGGCGGACGGGUGAGUAACACGUGGAUAACCUACCUAUAAGACUGGGAUAACUUCGGGAAACCGGAGCUAAUACCGGAUAAUAUUUUGAACCGCAUGGUUCAAAAGUGAAAGACGGUCUUGCUGUCACUUAUAGAUGGAUCCGCGCUGCAUUAGCUAGUUGGUAAGGUAACGGCUUACCAAGGCAACGAUGCAUAGCCGACCUGAGAGGGUGAUCGGCCACACUGGAACUGAGACACGGUCCAGACUCCUACGGGAGGCAGCAGUAGGGAAUCUUCCGCAAUGGGCGAAAGCCUGACGGAGCAACGCCGCGUGAGUGAUAAAGGUCUUCGGAUCGUAAAACUCUGUUAUUAGGGAAGAAUAUAUGUGUAAGUAACUGUGCACAUCUUGACGGUACCUAAUCAGAAAGCCACGGCUAACUACGUG
rnacentral:rRNA from 1 species